GACGAACCGUCCAAACGUUAUUCGGAAUUACUGGGCUUAAAGGGUGCGUAGGCGGCGCGGAAAGUAGGGUGUGAAAUCCCUCGGCUUAACCGAGGAACUGCGCCCUAAACUACCGUGCUUGAGGGAGAUAGAGGUGAGCGGAACUUAGGGUGGAGCGGUGAAAUGCGUUGAUAUCCUAAGGAACACCGGUGGCGAAAGCGGCUCACUGGAUCUCUUCUGACGCUGAGGCACGAAAGCUAGGGUAGCGAACGGG
rnacentral:rRNA from 1 species